rnacentral:rRNA from 1 species
UACGGGGGGUGCAAACGUUGCUCGGAAUUAUUGGGCGUAAAGCGCGCGUAGGCGGCUACCUAAGUCGGAUGUGAAAGCCCCUGGCUCAACCGGGGAAGUGCACCCGAAACUGGGUAGCUUGAGUGCAAAAGAGGAUCGCGGAAUUCCCGGUGUAGAGGUGAAAUUCGUAGAUAUCGAGAGGAACACCUGCGGCGAAGGCGGGUUGCUGGGCUGAUACUGACGCUGAGGCGCGAAAGCCAGGGGAGCGAACGGG